GCCUAUAAAAAAGCUAGUUCAUGGGCUUAGAAAUGAGUUGACUCACGAGUCAACUUGCGACCUUAAAUGAGCUAAGUAUUAAUGAGCUCAAACACAUCAUGUUUAGCAAACAAGCCUCAAAAUCAGGCUUGAACUCGAAUUAAAGCAAACGAGCCAGGCCAAGUCACUACUCAAGGCUUGGCUCAUUUACAACCCCAUCAC
rnacentral:misc_RNA from 1 species